rnacentral:rRNA from 1 species
UGUUUCGGCAAGGGGGUCAUCCCGACUUACCAACCCGAUGCAAACUGCGAAUACCGGAGAAUGUUAUCACGGGAGACACACGGCGGGUGCUAACGUCCGUCGUGAAGAGGGAAACAACCCAGACCGCCAGCUAAGGUCCCAAAGUCAUGGUUAAGUGGGAAACGAUGUGGGAAGGCCCAGACAGCCAGGAUGUUGGCUUAGAAGCAGCCAUCAUUUAAAGAAAGCGUAAUAGCUCACUGGUCGAGUCGGCCUGCGCGGAAGAUGUAACGGGGCUAAACCAUGCACCGAAGCUGCGGCAGCGACGCUUAUGCGUUGUUGGGUAGGGGAGCGUUCUGUAAGCCUG